rnacentral:rRNA from 1 species
UACGUAGGGUCCGAGCGUUGUCCGGAAUUACUGGGCGUAAAGAGCUCGUAGGUGGUUUGUCGCGUUGUUCGUGAAAACUCACAGCUCAACUGUGGGCGUGCGGGCGAUACGGGCAGACUAGAGUACUGCAGGGGAGACUGGAAUUCCUGGUGUAGCGGUGGAAUGCGCAGAUAUCAGGAGGAACACCCAUAGCGAAGGCAGUUCUCUGGGCCGUAACUGACGCUGAGGAGCGAAAGCGUGGGGAGCGAACAGG